GAUGAACGCUGGCGGCGUGCCUAAUACAUGCAAGUCGAGCGAACAGACGAGGAGCUUGCUCCUCUGACGUUAGCGGCGGACGGGUGAGUAACACGUGUAUAACCUACCUAUAAGACUGGGAUAACUUCGGGAAACCGGAUCUAAUACCGGAUAAUAUAUUGAACCGCAGGGUUCAAUAGUGAAAGACGGUGUUGCUGUCACUUAUAGAUGGAUCCGCGCCGCAUUAGCUAGUUGGUAAGUUAACGGCUUACCAAGGCAACGAGGCGUAGACGACGGGAGAGGGUGAUAGCCCGCCUUGGAAGUGGGACACGGUCCAGGCUCCUGCGGGAGGCCGCAGUCGGGAACCUUCCGCAAUGGGCGAAAGCAUGACGGAGCAACGCCGCGUGAGUGAUGACGGUCUUCGGAUCGUAAAACUCUGUUAUUAGGGAAGAACAAAUGUGUAAGUAACUAUGCACGUCUUGACGGUACCUAAUCAGAAAGCCACGGCUAACUACGUG
rnacentral:rRNA from 1 species